AUGUUACGGGGAGGUGGGGGCUGCGGUGACUCGCGGGAUCAGGAAUUUGGACCUAGAGAACGGAGAAAAACGGGAAAUCAGCAAGAUGAAGCCCUCUCCUGCUGCAGGCAUCCCUCUACCAACAGCCUCCUGGGUGGGGAAGCCAAAAGCCGAGGUGGUGGGCAACUGUUGGUCAGUUUGAACUGCUGGGCGGGAAGCUGGGCGGUGGGAAGCUGGGCGGCGGGAGGGCUAGGGCCGGUAUGUAAAGUGAGAGAUAAGGGAGCCUCUUUGUGGGGGAGGGAAAGAGAGAGAGAGAGCUUUUGCGGUAGGGGCAGAGUUUUCCAAACAGUAAAAGCUGCUGAAACAUGUCAAGAGCCAAAGGAAUUUAGAUUUGCCGAAAGGCCAUCACUUUGAUAUAAAUAUUGAGAGCAUCCUCAAAGGCAAAAUUUCCAUGGUAGAAGCAGUGACAUUUCUCAAUAAUCAUAAACUUUAACCAGGAACAUGGGCUGCUGAGAAAAUAGCUCAAGAAUACCAUUGAGAACAGAAAGAUGUGAAUUCCCUUCUUAAAUAUUUUGUUGAAUUCAAAAUCUUCCCUCCUGAAGACAAGAAAACAAUACAAUCAAAAUGAAGAAAAUCACAAACAUUUCCUAUGUGUACUCCUCAUCCCUCAUCCUGUAUGUUUUCUCAUUUUUUGCAUAUUAAAUUAUGUUAAUUACCAAGUGUUUAAUGCUCUCAUUGUGAGAGCAUACUCUUAAUAUUUAUUGAGCUCCCUGACUUUUCAAGAUUGCCAUAGAAUGUAUUUUGUUUUCUUUUAAUUUGGUUUAGGUAUAUUUCAUAUGUACAUGUCAGCAUGACUAAUCAGCACAUCUGUAACUUUAUUGUAAGUAAAAGUUAGUUUGUUAUUUUAGGCACAUCAUACCAACUUUUAAAUUGGUCAUAUGAUGCGUUGGGAAAUGUCUUGAAUCCCUCAUUUAAAUUUUACUUUCCAAGUUAAGUGUUUUUUAGUUCAUUCUUCAUAUGUGAUAGUGGAAGUAGAAGCUUUGCUGACUCUUAAGACUGACAUUUUCUUGUCAGCAAAAGAGACUGGAUAGCAAGCUAGACUAAUAAUAUUUCCCAGAGAAAGGCGCACAGUAAAAAAUAAUGAAUCAAUAGAAUCUAAUUAAAAUGACUACUCCAGGGAAUAAGAAUUACUGAGGAUUUAUUUUAUUUUGGAUUGGUUUUAAGUAUGGAAUAAUUGUCUUUACAGUUAUAAAACGUGAUUAAUUGUGUUUACAAAAUGUUGGGAAUUUCUGCUUUGACAAACAGGUAAAUCCCAUGGCCUUCAGAGAGGCAGGCAGAAGUAGAAACUUUCAAAAAAGUAACAUUUCUCUGGAUUUAACAUGGAAAUAGAAAAAUUUAAAGAAUUGAAUAAAAAAUGGUAAAUGAAAUUUGGUGAUUAUAUAUUGUUUCGGAUGUUAACACUAGUUGAGAGAAGAGAGAAAAAAUAGCAAGUAGAAGCAGAGAACAGGAUCAUUAGAAGGGACCUGAGAAAUUGCCGCUUCACCCAUUUUAGCAGACUUAGCACAGCAUGUACCGGUACUAGGAUCUUGAGUGAGGUGUGUGAGUUUUGCUCUGCCUAAUAUAUUACUACUUAUGGGAUCUUUGGGAGACUAUAUCUUCUUUGAGAUGGAAUUUCUUCUAUACAAAGAGCAUAAUGCUACCUUACCUAAAUUUAAGGGUUAUCAUGAAGAUAAAUGAAAUAGUAAAGGACUACAAAGGACCAAGCAAAUAUGAAUUAUUUUUUGCAGUGGAGAAACUAGCACCUGGGGAGAAUAUAUGACCUAAGCUUUCUAUAGUUUAUGACCUAACCAGGCCCAGAAUUUAGUUUUUCAAAUCCUAAUAGUGUGUUUUUUCUAUUGUGCCAAAAAGUGGCACACCUCAGAGAAGGGAAAAUGUGUGAAUUGUGGGUAUAUUGGGGAUAGCAGUGUGUUUCUGAGGGAAGAUAGGCAUCACUACUUCCCAGAGACACCCCUGAAAAUGAUACAGAAGAUGCUGAAGAAUUCAACAUGAUGGCAGAAUGAGGCAUUUGUAGUAAUGCCAAGAACAGAAAAAUGAACUAAGUGGAAAAUUUGUAACCAUGCUUUUGAAUGUAGAUUUGUUAUGUGAACAAAUUACCUAGUUUAUUUUUAGUUCAAUACAAUAGUUGUUUUAAGAAAACAUGAAAUAACUACUCAGUAUAAAAUGCAUUUAAAGACUACUAUAAAUCAGUAAAAACUUUAUUCCCUUUAUCCCAAUAGUCACUAGUUGGGUCACUAAUACUAGUACAUGCUAUUUCUGAGCCAUCUUUAUUCAUGUCUACAUUGUGUGGUUGGGCAGCUGUUAUGUGGGGUCACAUGAUAAAAUAAAGAACUUCUUCCCAUACCAUUAAAAAAAACCACACAUUACUGUUACACAGAAUCAUUGGCAGAAUUCAAAAUAAACAAUGAAAUAAAGGAGGAAAACCACUUUUCAAACAGGUAGCAUUAAACUUCCAGUUCUGUUCACAUGAAUCCACAAAUGUUACGCAGUUAAGUAUAGGAUAGGUUUGGAUUCUUUUUGCAUCUAUGUAGCAGGAUAGGUCAAUGUUUGUUAGUUUGUUUCUAUUUAGAGACAGGAUCUUACUAUGUUGCCCAGGCUGGAGUGCAAUGGUACCAUCAUAGCUUACUGCAGCCUCAAACUCCUGGGCUUAAGUGAUCUUCCCACCUCAGCCUCAUCAGUGGCUGGGACUACAGGUACAUGUGACUAUUCCUGACAAAUUUAAAAUAUAUAUAUAUAUUUUUUUGGUAGAGAUUGGGUCUUACCGUGUUGCCCAGGCUGAUCUUGAACUCUUGACCGCAAGCAAUCCUUCCACCUCAACCUUCCAAAGCAUUGGUAUUACAGGUGUGAACCAUAUUGCCCAGUCUUAACAUAUAUUCCUGAUAAUAAUUAUUUUAGUGGCUGUGUAAUAAUCCCUUGUUGAAUGUAACAGUGUACCAUGAUUCAUGCCAUUAUUGUUAUACAUUCAGAGUAUUACAGAAAUAACACAUUUUUAAGCAGUUCUGCAGAGAUUAUCUUUGACAUUUUAUUCUUUAAAAAAUAAUUCCAUCUGGGCAUGGUGGCUCAUGCCUGUAAUCCCAGCACUGUGGGAGGCCAUGGCAGGUGGAUCACCUGAGGUCAGGAGUUCGAGAUCAGCCUUGCUAACAUGGUGAAACCCCAUUUUUACUAAAAAGAAAAAAUUAGCCGGGCAUGGUGGUGGGCGCCUGUAAUUUCAGCUACGCAGGUGGCUGAGGCCUGAAUAAAUUAGUUUAUUUUGGACUACUAAAAAAAUUUCAAAACUUUAGAAUUGGUUAUUUUUGAACUUAUGCAAAACAAUAUAUUAGAGGUUGGGUGCAGUGGCUUAGGCUUGUAAUCCCAGCAUUUUGGGAAGCUGAGGCAGGAGGCUCACCUGAGGACAGGAGUUUGAGACCAGCCUGGCCAACAUAGUGAAAUCUGUACUAAAAAUACAAAAAAUUAGCUGGGUGUGGUGGUGAGUGCCUAUAAUCCCAGCUACUUGGGAGGCUGAGACAGGAGAAUUGCUUGAACCUGGGAGGCAGAGGUUGCAGUUAGCCAAGAUCUCACCACUGCACUCCAGCCUGGGCAACAAAGAGCAAAACUCCUGUCUAAAAAAAAGAUUCUGCUCUUUUCUGUGUUUACUGAUGUUCCUAAACAUUUUACAUUUUGUUAAAUUUAGGUUAUCUCCCUAUUAAAACUAUUUACAAGUGACAGUGAUGACUCCUGUUGCUCAAAAUUAAACCAAAAUGAACAUCAAACUAGGAUUUAUUGGACCUCAGAAACAAGAAGAUAUAAUUGAUUCAUUUGAACAUCAUAAAGAGGGACUGAAAUAAUAGUGAAAAAGCAGCCCAGAGACCAGAGUAACAUUGUUUCUUUGAUGUAUCAUUUACAGUAAUGACCCAAAGGGGUGCCAAGGAGCUGCUACUCUUUGGCUAAGCUUUAUUGUCCAUUCAGACUUUGUCUCCAUGUUUCCUUCCCCCUUCCUCCUGUAUACAGAAGGUAUUCAAAACUAACAUUACUUUCUUAUACUAUAUUCCUCAUACUAGGCAUCUUGCUAAGUAAGCACUUUGCAUAUAUUAUUGUCUCUUUAAACCUUUCUGACAAUCCUUAUGGGGUAGAAAAAUAGUAUUUCCUUUUCAAUUUCAAGAAGAUGUUCCAUUAGUUCUUAUUAGACAUAUCUAAUGUGAAAAUAUUUAAACAUUUGGCCAGGCACAGUGGCUCACGCCUGUUAUCCCAGCACUUUGUGGGGCUGAGAUUGGUGGGUCACCUGAGGUCAGGAGUUCGAGACCAGUCUGGCCAACAUGGUGAAACCAUCACUACUAAAAAUACAAAAAUAUAGCUGGGUGUGGUGGCGGGUGACUGUAAACCCUGUAUAUAAAAGGGGGAAGGAAACACGGAGACAAAGUAUGCAUCUACAUAUAGAAAUUCUGGAGCAGCAACUUACCGAUGUAUACAACUUGCUAAAUCUCUGUAAGUUAUGCUACUACCCCUAGUGUGCGGAGCAUGUUGGCCCAAACUUCCUCAAUCAGGAAACUUUGGAAUGAAUAGGUGUAUUGCUAGUUGUCUUCAUUUGGGUUUAAUCUCAACAUUUCAGAGGUGCAAAGUGCACUAGAUUGAGAGUUAACAGAUCUGAAUUUUAAUUUCAGGUUUGCUCCCAAUGAUCGCUGUGAUCUUAGGCACAUCACUUCACCUCUCAUCGUUCAUUCCCUUUACCUACCUAUUCAUUAAAAACCAAUCUGCUUGCCCUUAUGUGAUAUAGCUGGCCUAGAAUUAGAACCAGUACAAUGCCAUUUUAAAAUGGGAAAACUGUUUCCAUUCUCCUCACAAUGACUGCUUGCCAUGGCUUCUGUAAACUACUAAGAUUACCUUGCAAAAUGCAAAGAGAGGAAAAGCUGCAUACCUUCUCUUAUCUGUACUGCCAGAAUUGCUGGCCUUUGUUUACCAAAGUAAGCACCCCCAGAUAAUUCCAUCCUGGCGCCAAGUAACCUAAAAUUAUGUGGACCCCACACCUGUCCAGAUAAUGUAUAAACUAAUGUUUAUCUUGACCUCUGUAGACCACUUAAGUGGCAAUCGGAAUGACAAAAGUCUCAUGGCCCUUGGAAUGUCUGGAGCCCCCUCACCCUCGUCUCAGCCUAGGAAGUGAUUGACAGCUUUCAUUCCCAUCUCCGCUCCUCACCCCCACUCCCAAGGUGGUUUUGUGGGUAUAAAAAGGUCUUGUCACUCUUCUUUCUCUGCCACAGUUUGGAGAGACAUGAGUCCUCCGUGGUCACCGGCAAUAAACCCUGCAAUUUGGCAUACUUUUGUUCUGGUAUUGACUUUCUGUGCUAAGUUCAAUGCAACAUUUUGGAGGUCCCACCGAGAUCUUAUUUUUCAUCAUCAGACAAAAGCCAUUUCAGAGUCUUGCCCGGGUGGCGGCUCCUUCCUCGGAAGCCUCUAGGGGAGGCGCCCCCUGAGCUGUCUCAUGGCCCCCUGAGGGCCACUGCGGAGGAGCCCCACCCGGCCGACAUUCGCCCAAAAUUCUUCAGGGUCCUAAAAGCCUCUGGAGGUAGGUUGGUUUGGGAUCUGGGAACUGGUUCAAGGGAAAGGGCCUGUGGCGGGGGACUGAUGAGUCACUGCAACUCUGACCUGGCAAGCCUCACCGAGAUGUCGCUUGAGGCUUCUGGUGGCUGUCAUAGUGGGUGGCAGCCUUCUGGUAGCUGGUAUAGUGGGUAUAUCAGCGUAGGGUAGCUGGUAUAGUGGGUAUAUCAGCGUCGGGUAGCUGGCAUAGUGGGUGCCAGCCUUUUGGUGGCUGUCAUAGUGGGUGGCAGCCUUCUGGUAGCUGGCAUAGUGGGUGUCAGCAUUCAAUUGUUUUCCGUAGCCUCUGUGUGAGUGAGAGUGUGUGUGAGUAUCUAUGUAGUCCCACGGCUGAAAGCCACGGGGCUUGAGUGGGCCUCCACCCGCGGUUCCACGGGAGCGUCAUAAGGCAUAACGGUGAUUCAUCUCAGAGCUGUCCUACUCGGACUUCCAUCCUGAGGUGACCAGGCCCGGGGAUUAUACGGGUACACCUCUAGUCAAGACGUUCCUGAAAUACCCCUCCGGGGGUGUGGCCCGGCAGGCAACUGAGUGGUCUCCUCUGGAAGGCUCCCAUCCCUUGUUCGUCACUCUUUCAUUGGUCCUGUCUCGUCUGUAAAUUUGUUAGUUUUAUUAGACUUCUGCUAGCAGACAUCACUGGUUCAGACCAUCUUCCCUUGAGGUAGGAGAUAUAUUACAGUGGUUGAUGAACCACUGGAUGCAGGGAACUUUCAUUGAUUAUACCCCUGCAGAGAUUACUCUCUUCUCCUUCUUUCUCAUCUUCUUCUUCUAUCACUGAGGCCUCAUUCUUUCUUUCUCCACCAUGUGGCAAAUAGUCUUGACUUUAGUUGUUUUUAUUUUCUUCCUUGUUAUGAUCAUUGUGGUCUGUAAAUUCUCCCAGCCACCUCCACUGGGAAAAGAGUAUUUUUGCCCGUGCUGGGUCUGAGUCCAUGUCGGGAAGGCAGUUGUGCCCCCAGCACCUCAGAAGUAGUUUCUUUGGGGUUGUAGGAAACAAAGUCCUAGAUCAGGGUCUACGAGAGCUCUUUGUCUGGUUGGGAUGGAAAACUGGUAACUGCCUAUUCUGCCAGAAAAGUGUCCAAUGUUAUAAUAAGCAGUGCCCGGUAGUGUAUCACAGGGAGGCCUUACUAAAACCUGCUUUAGAGAGGGCAAAAUUUGAAUUAGAGGCUUUCCAAAGUUGGCUAUACCACAGAAAAAGAAAGACACGGGUAGUAAGCAAGAGUCCUGAAAGAAAGGAAAAGAAAAGAAGAGAGAGGAGACAGAGACAAAGAAAAGAAAGCAAGAGAGAGGAAAUAGGGAAAGAGAGAGAAAACAGAAGAGAGUGGAGAAGAAAGAAAAAAAAAGGGGGGGAGACAAGAAUUUAAUGCUUUUCAGGGUUCCUGUGUAAAAGUGACAAAAAGCUGCAGAGGCGAAGAACUCGAAGCCGGCCCAGCGGCUUGGAGCUCAGUUUAAACUGACCCCAAAAGCGUUUUUUCCCCUUCUCUGCUGGCUGCCCGCCCCACCCGGCUUUCAGGCAGGCCACACUGUCUCAUGUAGCAUUUGCAUCUAAAAACUCGCUUUAAGAACAGCUUUCUAACUCUUUGUAGUGCAAAUUAUUUGUUAGCACAACAGUUAAGGUGGGGCUGGGGAGCCCCAAGCUGCAAGAUUGUUAGUUCAAGUCCUCAAUAAGGCCAGUCUUAAACUAGUAAAAUCUCUCAGGGAAAAUUUAAAACUGAAAGAAAACGACCAAAUGGGCUUGUCACAGUCCUGACCAUACACCCGCCUCCCAUGCAUGACAGAAAACUUUAAAUUAGGGUUCUCUGGCCAGUAUGGUGUUAAGCUAACCCCACAGAGGCUUCGCACCCUUUGUGAGUUAGAGUGGCCAGUCUUUGGGGUAGACUGGCCAGAUACAGGGACAUAUGACCCCAAGAUAACUCAGGCUGUCUGGAACAUGGUGUCAGGGUCUCCGGCCCACCCUAAUCAAUUUCCAUACAUCGAUCAAUGGCUGAGGCUGAACCAGCACCCCUCUCCUUGGCUUGAAAAAUGUAUAAAGUGUGCUGGACUUCAGGUUAUGCUAGCAGGCCCAAAAAAAGGGCCCCUCAGCACCGGCUGUUCUUCCAGGCCCUGCCAAGGACCAACAGUUGCCUCCACCGUAUUCUCGGCCCUCGGGGGUGGGGUCCCAACACCCCUUCCUGGAUAAUUCUAAUGACCAGCCCUUGUCUCCUCUCUACACUUGAAGCAGGGCCCUACACCCACCGGCAGUCCUUCUUCUCCGAGAGGCUCCCCAAUAAGAAGAAAACAAUUGGGGUCGCCCAUUCUUUGUUCACUUCUUGUCAGGUGACUUAUAUAACUGGAAGGUGAUAGAAAUUAAGGAGAAGGCCAAAACACCAAGUGCUGGCACAAGCUUUAUUAAAAGCAAGGAAAAAUCUGCUGGGCUGCACCCAAAAUUGACACGCAGCACCUGUGGCGUGGCAAAAGGAAUUUUUAUGGCCUGCAAGCCGGCAGAUACCUCCAGUAUGAGGGGCUGUGCAAGAGGGGAGGGGCUGGGGAAGUGCUGAGUUUAGCAGUUCCUGGGAAGGCUGGGGAACUACUAAAAUGGCAAGAGGGGGAGGGUUAGAAAACUACUGAGAUAGAAAGUUCCCCGGGAAGGGGUCGUGCUGGGAGGCUGGAGGAUCUUGAAGCGGUAGCAAAGUUUUACAAUAGAGUAAGUUCUGUCAGAAAGCUCAACAUCUCCCGUUCUCUGAGAAGCCCCAGGCUUUGACAGGGCUCUUAAAAUCUGUACUGCAAACUUAUCACCCCAUUUAGAAUAACUGCCAACAAUUAUUCCUGAGUGUGUUGUCUAAUUCUGGAGUAGAAUCAGACAAGAAGCCCAUAAAGCAAUACGUAGGACGGGGGGAAGAUCAGAAAAUGCCAGGACCAAAUUAAAAUGGUAUUUUUCAUCUACCCGACCCCACAUGGGGGCCCAACACCUUGAGGGGUCACCAGGCUCCGAACACUUUUCACCGGUAAUUGUUAGAGGGGGUUAAGAGAGCGACUCCAUGGGAGGGACUGUAAAAAUCAGCGGGCCAUAAAUCUAGCUUUUGUUUCCCAGUCUGCCCCAGACAUCAAAAGAAAGUUGCAAAAAUUAGAGGGGUUUCAGGAAAUAAAUUUAGCUCAGUUGUUAGAAAUUGCCCAAAAAGUUUUUAACAAUAGGAACACCUUAGAGGCCAAGCAAGAUAAGGGAGUUACUAAAGCAGUGAUAACAGCACUCCAGGAAACCCGAGUUACCUCCCGGGAACCAGAAAUCCAGCAGAGAAGCUGCUGCAAAGUUUUAAGAAUUCCCCUACUUUGUUUGAUGAUAUGCUGAGCCAAGACCUUGCUGAUUUCUGAGCUGAGUUACAACUUACUCUUAGCCACAAAAACCCAGGAGGACUGUAAAGAGACCACCCAGUCAUUACUAAGGACCCUACAGACUUUAGAGUGCCGGGUCUCAGCUAAAAAGGCCCAACUCUGCCAGCCGAGAGUUACUUACUGGGACUCUAUUAUAGAGAAAGGCAACCGGGCACUGGCACCCAGCUGAAUCCAAGCAGUGCUGCAAAUACCCACCCCCACCAUGAAACUCCAAGUUCAAAAAUUCCUUGGGGCACUAGGGUACUGCAGGCUAUGAAUUUUAGGAUUUUCUGAGAUAGCCAAGCCCCUGUAUGCCUGCACUGGAGGAAAUCAGCCCUUAACAUGGACAGAGGUAGAGCAACAGGCUUUUGACAAGCUCAAGACUGCCCUGACUGUGGUCCCAGCCUUAGCCUUGCCAGACAGCUCUAGAUCUUUCCAGUUGUUUGUGCAUGAAAAACAGAGAGUUGCUAAUGGGGUGCCCACCCAAACUCUGGGACCCUAAUCCCAGCCAUUCACCUAUCUUUCAAAAGGACUUGAUCCCGUAGCCUCUGGGCGGCCAGCUUGUCUGAGAAUGGUGGCGACCCCAGCCCUAUUAAUCAAAGAGGCAGACAAGCUGACUUUGAGACAGGAGUUAAACUUAGUGGCUCCCCACGUGGUAGAGUCGGUACUCCGUGGAGCCCCAGAAAAUGGAUGUCAAACGCCGCCAUAUUGCUACCUGACAGCAGGCCAGAGGAGCCAAUUCAUGACUUCCAAUGGACAAUAGAUGUCCUCCACGCUGCGCGACCGGAUCUCACUGACGUCCCCCUGCAGAACCCGGAAGAGGUAUUGUAUACGGAUGGAAGCGGCUUCAUGGUCAACAGAGUCAGGUAUGCCGGGGCAGCUGUGGUUACCCUAGAGCGAGUUAUCUGAGCUCAGGCUCUCCCACACGGGACCUCAGCCCAGAAGGCCGAACUCAUAACUCUAAUAAAGACCUUGGACUGGGCAGAGGGAAAAACUGUCAAUAUCUACAUAAAUAGUCGAUAUGCCUUUGCUACAGCCCAAGUACAUGGACCCAUUUAUAAAGAAAGAGGGCUGCUCACCUCAGAGGGAAAGCUCUAUGGAAGCCCAGGGCAGUGGCAUUAAUACACUGCAAAGGACACCAGAAGGGAGAUUCACCAGAGACAAGGGGAAAUAGGGCAGCUGACCUGCAAGCCAGAUAGGCAGCCUUGGGGCCAAUAAAACCUCUGACUCUUCUUGUGACUUUGCCGGCCCCAAACCUGCCUCGUACCCCAACUUACUCGCCUGAGGAAGAAAACUUUGCUAAAGAACAGGGUGGAGGGCAAAAUUCCACAGGAUGGUGGCUUCUACUAGACAUAAGGAUUGUGCUCCCUGAGGCUCUAGAGAAGACUCUAGUUAAGAACACACCAGGCCAUUUACUUAGGACAAACAAAACUCACUGAGUUGUUAAGGGCCAGAUACUACAUUCCACAUUUACAUAAGAUUGUUAGGGAAACUACUAUUCAUUGUAAUGUAAGCGACAGGGUAAAUUUAGGAGACAGUAAAACUAGUCAAGCAGGAAUAAGGCUUAGGGAUACUAGCCCAGGGGAACAGUGGAAGGUAAAUUUUACUGAAAUAAAGCCCCCAGCUUGAGUCUGUAAAUGCCUCCUUAUGUUUACAAACACUUUUUCUGGAUGGGUCGAGGCUUUUCCUACUAGGUCAGAAACUGCACUGGUAGUAACAAAGAGAUUGCUAUAGGACGUGGUUCCUCGGUACGGCUUGCCCCUGACACUGGGAUCACAUAAUGGCCCUGCUUUUAUGGCACAGGUUUCACAGGGCCUACCCAAGGCCCUGGGCAUAUCCUGGAAGCUACACUGUGCCUAUCGCCCCCAGAGUUCAGGGCAGGUUGAAAGGAUGAACCGGACCAUAAAGGAAACUUUAACAAAAUUCAUUCUAGAAACCCGUGAAAACUGGGUCAACCUGCUUCCUUUUGUUCUCCUCCGUACCCGAUGUACUCCCUAUAAGAAAGGCUUUACUCCUUUUAAAAUUAUGUUUGGGAAGCCCCCUCCCUUACUCCCCAAACUUGCGGACACCAUACAUGCUGAAGUCCAUAAUCAUACACUCCUUAAGUCCUUGCAGGCACUCCAGUCUGUUCAGUCCCAGGUGCAUUCACUCAUCAGGGGAGUUCGACCUACUCCAGGGGACCUCACUGACCAGCCGCUACACCCCUUCCAGCCGGGGAAUAAGGUCUUAAUAAAGAGAUUCACUGCCUCCGGUCUGACUCCUCGCUGGAAGGGACCCUACACCGUGAUUCUGGUCACCCCCACAGCAGUCAAGGAGGAUAGACUGACUGCCUGAAUUCACCAUUGACACGUCAAGACUGCCCCCCGAUGCAAGAUAAGAAAUAGUUUCAUCCUCAACGGACCCCCUAAAGCUAAGACUUUUGCGCCGUUCACAGUUGUCAUCCUAAUCUCUUUGACUCCUGUAACCACCCCCCUUAAUGCCCACUUAUUGUCAAUAGGUCAUCACGGAAGGCUCAACGGGACAAUUUGUUAGUACUGUACUUGGGGCUGGAACCACCCUUGUCAGCUUAACCCUAGAGUACAUUCCCAGAGAUCCCAUAACCUUCUCCCUAGACCUCUGCACUCUCUUAAAUGAGAGCCUAGAUGCAAAUACUAUAGGACAAAUGAAGACAAAAAGAUGGGGUGGGGAAAUAUAGUGAGGGCGAAGGAGAUGGGGUGUGGGAACGUAGUGGCCGAAAAACGGCUUCAGACAAUGAGGCUAUAUCUAUGCCCAAGGUCCACACCAGAUAAAAGGUAAAAUUCUCAUAACACCCAAUACAGACAGACGUUAGAAACAGGCCCCUAUAAUUAUACCGGGACUUGGAAUAGCAGGGUCCACCGCUAUAGGAAUAUCUGCCUUAGUCACCGGGGACCAAAAUUUCCAAACUCUUUCACAUCAAAUAGAUGCAGAAAUUGCCCAUCUAGAAAAUUCCCUCACCAAAUUAGCUGAACAAGUAGACUCCUUAGCUAAAAUGGUAUUGCAAAAUAAAAAGGGGUUAGAUGUGUUGUUCUUGAGGGAAGGAGGGCCGUAUGUGGCUCUCGGUGAGCAGUGUUGCUUCUAUGCAAAUAAUUCUGGAAUUAUCCAAGACAGUCUUGCUAUGGUUAGGAAAAACUUAGAAAUGAGGAAACACCUCAGAGAGGCCUCAGGAAAUUGGUACCAAAAACUGUUCUCUUGGUCCCCCUGGCUGACAUCCCUGCUCACUGGGUUAGCAGGACCCUUGGUGCUAGUGGUUCUAGGGUUAACAUUUGGACCAUGCCUUUUAAACAUGCUCUGCAAAUUUAUCCAGGAAAGAAUAGAUUCGGUAAAAUUAAUGGGUCUAAGAUCCAACUAUGGGCCUCUGUGUCAAAAAGAGGACACCUAUUAAAGAUUUAAUUUAUGUUAUAAGAACGGGGCGAAUGUGAUAUAGCUGGCCUAGAAUUAGAACCAGUACAAUGCCAUUUUAAAAUGGGAAAACUGUUUCCAUUCUCCUCACAAUGACUGCUAGCCAUGGCUUCUGUAAACUACUAAGAUUACCUUGCAAAAUGCAAAGAGAGGAAAAGCUGCAUACUUUCUCUUAUCUGUACUGCCAGAAUUGCUGGCCUUUGUUUACCAAAGUAAGCACCCCCAGAUAAUUCCAUCCUGGCGCCAAGUAACCUAAAAUUAUGUGGACCCCACACCUGUCCAGAUAAUGUAUAAACUAAUGUUUAUCUUGACCUCUGUAGACCACUUAAGUGGCAAUCGGAAUGACAAAAGUCUCCUGGCCCUUGGAAUGUCUGGAGCCCCCUCACCCUCGUCUCAGCCUAGGAGGUGAUUGACAGCUUUCAUUCCCAUCUCCGCUCCUCACCCCAACUCCCAAGGUGGUUUUGUGGGUAUAAAAAGGUCUUGUCACUCUUCUUUCUCUGCCACAGUUUGGAGAGACGUGAGUCCUCCGUGGUCACCGGCAAUAAACCCUGCAAUUUGG